rnacentral:rRNA from 1 species
AUGAAACCUCUUAGUGGAGAAGACUCAAGGAAAUUGUUUUUUGAUAGGAUAUUUUUCUCUGAAGAAGCUUGUCCAGUUCAACUCAGACAUGUUUCAGUUGACAUUCUCAAGAAAUGUGGUGGAUUGCCACUUGCAAUCAUUAGCAUAUCUAGCCUAUUAGCAAGUGGAAGUUCCAACCAAAAGGAGAGAUGGGAACAUGUACAGAAUUCUUUGGGGUCAGUUUUGGGCACAAAUCUCACCUUGGAAGCAAUUAGACAGAUCUUGAACCUUAGCUACAAAAAUCUUCCUCACCACCUCAAGACAUGCUUCUUGUAUCUUGGUAUGUUUCCAGAGGACUCUGAAAUACUGAAGUAUGAAUUGGUAAGACUAUGGAUUUCAGAAGGCUUUGUUAGUAAAGCACAUGGACAAAGCCUAGAACAGACUGCAAUAAGCUAUUUCAAUGAGCUUAUCAACAGGAGCCUUAUUCAACCUGUAGAAAUUAAAACGGAUGGGACAGUGUUAACUUGCAAAGUGCAUGAUAUGUUGUUGGAUCUUAUCUUGUACAAGUCUGCAGAAGAGAACUUUAUCACUGUAGUAGAUAACCCAGAUUCCGUUGCAAGACAGCUUCAAAAGCCCCGUCGGAUGCUCUUCAGCUUGGAUGGUGCAACAUUGCCAGGGGUCGUCAAUAUGUCAGAAGUGAGAUCGUUUGCAAACUACAGAGGCUCCAUGCACAUACCUUCUCUGGCAGAGUUCAAGUAUCUUCGAGUUUUUAUUACUGACUUUACAUCUUUUUCUGCUGAUGACAACCGGAAAAUUGACCUGACAAGAUUGUGUGAGUUAUAUCAGCUGCGACAUAUACGGAUUCGCGGCUGUGGUAAGUGCCAGCUACCAACGCAGAUUAGAGGGCUACAAAAGUUGGUAACAUUUGAUAUAGAUGGGUCCUGUAUCCCAACUGAUAUUUUCCACCUGCCGCACUUGUUGUUUCUAAAUGCUCCAAACGUUGAAAGGCUGCCGGAGGGCAUUGGUAAAAUGACAUCCCUACAACAGCUGCAUAAUUUUCACACACUGUGCGCCUCACUUGACAGUGUCAAGGGCCUUGGAGAGCUCACCAAUCUGAGUAUUCUAUGUCUCGGAACUGGUUUUUCUGAAGAUGUGGUCAUAGAUGCUCUAAACUCUUCUUUGGGAAAACUUUGUAACCUCGAGUGGCUGCACAUAUUCACACCUUCUGUUUCUUUUAUACCUGAGACAGUAACCUUGUCGUCUCCUCCCCCCAACCUCGUUACACUCUACGUGUUUCGAUGCUUCAGGGUCCCUAUCUGGAUCAAGGAACUCCAUAACCUCCGGUCCUUGGAUCUCACUGUUAGGACACUGGACAAGGAUGGUGUUGGUAUUCUUGCGGAGUUACCAUCCCUUAUCGACGUGGAAUUAAAAUUUAGUAGAGCCCUGGAAGAAACAAUUGCCAUCUAUGGGACAGCAUUCCCAAUCCUAAAAAGGUUUGAUAUCAGUGGGGGUAUCAUGCCACAACUAAUCUUCCAAGCUGGGGCAAUGCCUAAGCUCCAGAGACUCGAUCUAUCAUGGAUGAAGGACGAGAGCGCCACACCUACAGGUAUCGAGCACUUGUUAGCGCUUGAAAGAAUCGGUGUAAGAUUCCGGAGUAGUACUGAAUCUGAAAAGAGAAGCGCGGAGUCAGCCAUCAGGAGCGCUAUCAGCAUGCAUCCCAACCAUGCUCACAUUACAAUCGAUGUAUGA